AACGCUAGCUACAGGCUUAACACAUGCAAGUCGAGGGGCAUCAGGAAGAAAGCUUGCUUUCUUUGCUGGCGACCGGCGCACGGGUGAGUAACACGUAUCCAACCUGCCCUUUACUCGGGGAUAGCCUUUCGAAAGAAAGAUUAAUACCCGAUGGCAUAAUGAUUCCGCAUGGUUUCAUUAUUAAAGGAUUCCGGUAAAGGAUGGGGAUGCGUUCCAUUAGGUUGUUGGUGGGGUAACGGCCCACCAAGCCUUCGAUGGAUAGGGGUUCUGAGAGGAAGGUCCCCCACAUUGGAACUGAGACACGGUCCAAACUCCUACGGGAGGCAGCAGUGAGGAAUAUUGGUCAAUGGGCGCUAGCCUGAACCAGCCAAGUAGCGUGAAGGAUGAAGGCUCUAUGGGUCGUAAACUUCUUUUAUAUAAGAAUAAAGUGCAGUAUGUAUACUGUUUUGUAUGUAUUAUAUGAAUAAGGAUCGGCUAACUCCGUGCCAGCAGCCGCGGUAAUACGGAGGAUCCGAGCGUUAUCCGGAUUUAUUGGGUUUAAAGGGAGCGUAGGUGGACUGGUAAGUCAGUUGUGAAAGUUUGCGGCUCAACCGUAAAAUUGCAGUUGAUACUGUCAGUCUUGAGUACAGUAGAGGUGGGCGGAAUUCGUGGUGUAGCGGUGAAAUGCUUAGAUAUCACGAAGAACUCCGAUUGCGAAGGCAGCUCACUGGACUGCAACUGACACUGAUGCUCGAAAGUGUGGGUAUCAAACAGGAUUAGAUACCCUGGUAGUCCACACAGUAAACGAUGAAUACUCGCUGUUUGCGAUAUACAGUAAGCGGCCAAGCGAAAGCAUUAAGUAUUCCACCUGGGGAGUACGCCGGCAACGGUGAAACUCAAAGGAAUUGACGGGGGCCCGCACAAGCGGAGGAACAUGUGGUUUAAUUCGAUGAUACGCGAGGAACCUUACCCGGGCUUAAAUUGCAGUGGAAUGAUGUGGAAACAUGUCAGUGAGCAAUCACCGCUGUGAAGGUGCUGCAUGGUUGUCGUCAGCUCGUGCCGUGAGGUGUCGGCUUAAGUGCCAUAACGAGCGCAACCCUUAUCUUUAGUUACUAACAGGUCAUGCUGAGGACUCUAGAGAGACUGCCGUCGUAAGAUGUGAGGAAGGUGGGGAUGACGUCAAAUCAGCACGGCCCUUACGUCCGGGGCUACACACGUGUUACAAUGGGGGGUACAGAAGGCAGCUAGCGGGUGACCGUAUGCUAAUCCCAAAAUCCUCUCUCAGUUCGGAUCGAAGUCUGCAACCCGACUUCGUGAAGCUGGAUUCGCUAGUAAUCGCGCAUCAGCCACGGCGCGGUGAAUACGUUCCCGGGCCUUGUACACACCGCCCGUCAAGCCAUGGGAGCCGGGGGUACCUGAAGUACGUAACCGCAAGGAUCGUCCUAGGGUAAAACUGGUGACUGGGGCUAAGUC
rnacentral:rRNA from 1 species